UAAUACGGAGGGGGCUAGCGUUGUUCGGAAUUACUGGGCGUAAAGCGCACGUAGGCGGUCUAUCUAGUUAGAGGUGAAAGGCCCGGGCUCAACCUGGGAACUGCCUUUAAUACUGGUAGGCUAGAGUCCGGGAGAGGGUAGCGGAAUUCCAAGUGUAGAGGUGAAAUUCGUAGAUAUUUGGAAGAACACCAGUGGCGAAGGCGGCUACCUGGACCGGCACUGACGCUGAGGUGCGAAAGCGUGGGGAGCGAACAGGAUUAGAUACCCUGGUAGUCCACGCCGUAAACGAUGAGUGCUAGAUGUCGGGGUUUCAGAUUUCGGUGUCGCAGCUAACGCGUUAAGCACUCCGCCUGGGGAGUACGGUCGCAAGAUUA
rnacentral:rRNA from 1 species